rnacentral:rRNA from 1 species
UAUGCAACCUGGCCACUACAGGGAGAUAGCCCGGGGAAACCCGGAUUAAUAUCCCAUAACACAUAGGGACCGCAUGGUUUUUAUGUUAAAGAUUUAUCGGUAGUGGAUGGGCAUGCGUUCGAUUAGCUAGUUGGUAGUGUAACAGACUACCAAGGCCACGAUCGAUAGGGGGUCUGAGAGGAUGAUCCCCCACACUGGUACUGAGAUACGGACCAGACUCCUACGGGAGGCAGCAGUAGGGAAUAUUGGGCAAUGGAGGCAACUCUGACCCAGCCAUGCCGCGUGCAGGAAGACGGCCUUCUGGGUUGUAAACUGCUUUUCUACAGGAAGAAAAAGCCCAUGCGUGGGAAAUUGCCGGUACUGUAGGAAUAAGCACCGGCUAACUCCGUGCCAGCAGCCGCGGUAAUACGGAGGGUGCAAGCGUUGUCCGGAUUUAUUGGGUUUAAAGGGUGCGUAGGCGGCUAAUUAAGUCAGUGGUGAAAGCCUGUAGCUCAACUAUAGAAUUGCCAUUGAUACUGGUUAGCUUGAGUACGGUAGAGGUAAGCGGAAUGGAUGGUGUAGCGGUGAAAUGCAUAGAUAUCAUCCAGAACACCGAUAGCGAAGGCAGCUUACUGGACCGUUACUGACGCUGAGGCACGAAAGCAUGGGGAGCAAACAGGAUUAGAUACCCUGGUAGUCCAUG